GAUGAACGCUAGCGGCAGGCCUAACACAUGCAAGUCGAGGGGUAGCAGGAUAAAGCUUGCUUUAUUGCUGACGACCGGCGCACGGGUGCGUAACGCGUAUGCAACCUACCUUAUACUGGGGUAUAGCCCGGAGAAAUUCGGAUUAAUCCCCCAUAGUAUUAUCGAUUCGCAUGUUUUGAUAAUUAAAGGUUUCGGUAUAAGAUUGGCAUGCGUCCCAUUAGCUAGAUGGUGAGGUGACGGAUCACCAUGGCGACGAUGGGUAGGGGGCCUGGGAGAGUGGUCCCCCGCACUGGUACUGACACACGGACCAGACUCCUACGAGAGGGAGCAGUGAGGAAUAUUGGUCAAUGGGCGCAAGCCUGAACCAGCCAUGCCGCGUGCAGGAAGAAGGUCCUAUGGAUUGUAAACUGCUUUUAUUAGGGAAUAAACCUCUUUACGUGUAGAGAGCUGAAGGUACCUAAUGAAUAAGCACCGGCUAACUCCGUGCCAGCCGCCGCAGUAA
rnacentral:rRNA from 1 species